rnacentral:rRNA from 1 species
CCUACGGGUGUCAGCAGUGAGGAAUAUUGGUCAAUGGGCGCUAGCCUGAACCAGCCAAGUAGCGUGAAGGAUGACUGCCCUAUGGGUUGUAAACUUCUUUUAUAUGGGAAUAAAGUGCAGUAUGUAUACUGCUUUGCAUGUACCUUAUGAAUAAGGAUCGGCUAACUCCGUGCCAGCAGCCGCGGUAAUACGGAGGAUUUGAGCGUUAUCCGGAUUUAUUGGGAUGAAAGGGAGCGUAGGCGGGUUGUUAAGUCAGUUGUGAAAGUUUGCGGCUCCACCGUAACAUUGCAGUUGAUACUGGCAUCCUUUAGUACAGUAGAGGUAGGCGGAACUCGGGGGGUAGCGGUGAAAUUCUUAGAUAUUCCCGAGAACUCCGAUUGCGAAGGCAGCCUG